CCGAGCAGGACCGACGCGGAGCUUGCUCCCUUAGAGUACAUGCGGCGGACGGGUGAGUAACACGUGGGUAACCUGCCUGUAAGACUGGGAUAACUCCGGGAAACCGGGGCUAAUACCGGAUGCUUGAUUGAACCGCAUGGUUCAAUCAUAAAAGGUGGCUUUCAGCUACCACUUACAGAUGGACCCGCGGCGCAUUAGCUAGUUGGUGAGGUAACGGCUCACCAAGGCGACGAUGCGUAGCCGACCUGAGAGGGUGAUCGGCCACACUGGGACUGAGACACGGCCCAGACUCCUACGGGAGGCAGCAGUAGGGAAUCUUCCGCAAUGGACGAAAGUCUGACGGAGCAACGCCGCGUGAGUGAUGAAGGUUUUCGGAUCGUAAAACUCUGUUGUUAGGGAAGAACAAGUACCGUUCGAAUAGGGCGGUACCUUGACGGUACCUAACCAGAAAGCCACGGCUAACUACGUGCCAGCAGCCGCGGUAAUACGUAGGUGGCAAGCGUUGUCCGGAAUUAUUGGGCGUAAAGCGCGCGCAGGCGGUUUCUUAAGUCUGAUGUGAAAGCCCCCGGCUCAACCGGGGAGGGUCAUUGGAAACUGGGGAACUUGAGUGCAGAAGAGGAGAGUGGAAUUCCACGUGUAGCGGUGAAAUGCGUAGAGAUGUGGAGGAACACCAGUGGCGAAGGCCACUCUCUGGUCUGUAACUGACGCUGAAGCGCGAAAGCGUGGGGAGCGAACAGGAUUAAAUACCCUGGUACUCCACGCCGUAAACGAUGAGUGCUAAGUGUGAAAGGGUUUCCCCCCUUUAUGGCUGCAGCAAACGCGUUAUUCACUCCGCCUCCCGGGGAAGGUCGCGGGGAUUAAAGAUC
rnacentral:rRNA from 1 species